AGUGAACGCUGGCGGUAGGCCUAACACAUGCAAGUCGAACGGCAGCACAGUAAGAGCUUGCUCUUACGGGUGGCGAGUGGCGGACGGGUGAGGCAUACAUCGGAAUCUACUUUUUCGUGGGGGAUAACGUAGGGAAACUUACGCUAAUACCGCAUACGACCUACGGGUGAAAGCAGGGGAUCUUCGGACCUUUCGCGAUUGAAUGAGCCGAUGUCGGAUUAGCUAGUUGGCGGGGUAAAGGCCCACCAAGGCGACGAUCCGUAGCUGGUCUGAGAGGAUGAUAGGCCACACUGGAACUGAGAAACGGUCCAGACUCCUACGGGAGGCAGAAGUGGGGAAUAUUGGACAAUGGGCGCAAGCCUGAUCCAGCAAUACCGCGUGGGUGAAGAAGGCCUUCGGGUUGUAAAGCCCUUUUGUUGGGAAAGAAAAGCAGCAGGUUAAUACCCCGCUGUUCUGACGGUACCCAAAGAAUAAGCACCGGCUAACUUCGUG
rnacentral:rRNA from 1 species